ensembl:lncRNA
CAAGUCUGAGAGCACCAGUGAUUCCAGAAAAUAAACGUGACAGUAACUCAUUGGACACAGUAUUAGAUGAUCACUUUUUAUUAACAACUCUUUUAUGUAAUAAAAAAAGUGGAAUCUUCAAAAACAAAUACAAUGCAAAAGCCCUCAAAUAAGGCAUUUCUUGGGCUUACUGGGAGCAAUGGAAUAAAUUGCACCUUAUUUUCAGAGUCCUUUCCCCCUUCACUCAUCUUCUCCUGAGGCUCCUGCUGUACUUUUUCUUUUCUCUUUCCUACUUUGGCUUCACUCUUCAUCUUCUCCAGAGGCUCUGCCUGUAUCUUUUCUUCCUUCCUUUGCCUUUUGCCGCUCAUCUUCUCCAGAGGCUCUGCCUGUAUCUUUUCUUCCUUCCUUUGCCUUUUGCCGCUCAUCUUCUCCAGAGGCUCUGCCUGUAUCUUUUCUUCCUUCCUUUGCCUUUUGCCGCUCAUCUUCUCCAGAGGCUCUGCCUGUAUCUUUUCUUCCUUCCUUUGCCUUUUGCCGCUCAUCUUCUCCAGAGGCUCCUGCUGUACUUUUUCUUUUCUCUUUCCUACUUUGGCUUCACUCUUCAUCUUCUCCAGAGGCUCUGCCUGUAUCUUUUCUUCCUUCCUUUGCCUUUUGCCGCUCAUCUUCUCCAGAGGCUCUGCCUGUAUCUUUUCUUCCUUCCUUUGCCUUUUGCCGCUCAUCUUCUCCAGAGGCUCCUGCUGUACUUUUUCUUUUCUCUUCCCUUCUUUGUCUUCACUCUUCAUCUUCUCCAGAGACUCUUCUUGUAUCUCUUUCUCCUCCAGUUGUUCUUUAUUUUAAGAAAAUAAUCAUUUACUUACUGAUUAACUUAACAUUGUUCAUAUUGUGCAAUAUAAUGUUAAUAUUUACCUGAGGUUAUUAUUGCUGCAGAUGACAUUCCACUUUGGUCUUUCUUGUUGUUAUCUAAGACCAUAUGAGAAAUAAAUAAAUACCACUCCACCUUAAAGUUCUUUGAAUUUGUGUAUUUUUACUACAGCUGCUGGUUUCCAGUUACCAGAUCUUGGUAUCGUGUCUUCAAAGAGAGUUGACUGAUGAAAAGUGAGCCUCUUCAAGCAUCUGGUUUGGUGAAUCACCCUUUUUUCUGAACUCUUAUUCACAGUCAUUGCUUUGUCUUGGCUUACAUAGGCCUGCUGCAUCUGAAAAAU